GAAAUGCGAUAAGUAAUGUGAAUUGCAGAAUUCAGUGAAUCAUCGAAUCUCUGAACGCACCUUGCGCUCCUUGGUAUUCCUUGGAGCAUGCCUGUUUGAGUAUCAUGAAAUCUUCAAAGUAAAUCUUUUGUUAACUCAAUUGGUUUCUACUUUGGUAUUGGAGGUCUUUGCAGCUUCACACCUGCUCCUCUUUGUUCAUUAGCUGGAUCUCAGUGUUAUGCUUGGUUCCACUCGGCGUGAUAAGUUAUCUAUCGCUGAGGACACUGUAAAAGGUGGCCAAGGUAAAUGCGGAUGAACCGCUUCUAAUAGUCCAUUGACUUGGACAAUACUUUUAUGAUCUGAUCUCAAAUCAGGUAGGACUACCCGCUGAACUUAAGC
rnacentral:misc_RNA from 1 species